AAUACAUGCAAGUCGAACGAAGCACUUCAGCAGAUCCCUCGGGUGAAGCCGGUUGUGACUAGUGGCGGACGGGUGAGUAACGCGUGGGUAACCUGCCUUAUACAGGGGGAUAACAGCUGGAAACGACUGCUAAUACCCCAUAAGCGCACGGCACCGCAUGAUGCAGUGUGAAAAGAUUUAUCGGUAUAAGAUGGACCCCGCGUCUGAUUAGUUAGUUGGCGGGGUAACGGCCCACCAAGACCGCGAUCAGUAGCCGACUUGAGAGAGUGAUCGGCCACAUUGGGACUGAGACACGGCCCAGACUCCUACGGGAGGCAGCAGUAGGGAAUAUUGCACAAUGGGGGAAACCCUGAUGCAGCGAACCGCCGCGUGAGUGAUUGAAGUAUUUCGGUAUGUAAAGCUCUAUCAGCAGGGAAGAUAAUGACGGUACCUGACUAAGAAGCCCCGGCUAACUACGUGCCAGCAGCUGC
rnacentral:rRNA from 1 species